UCAAAAUCUAAAGAAUUGAAUAUCAGAAUUACAAAGCCAAACAUCUGAAAGAAUCAGAAGAAUAACACAAUCCUUUCACAAUGGCUGAAACGGUGCCGUCUAGCUCUCAACCUUCUUCUUCUCCUUCUUCUUCUUCAUCAUCCUCUUCUUCUCAUAAAUUGCCUCAAGAUUCUCCCAAACAACGACAGGUCCCGGCAUUUACCAAUUUUCCACCAUUUCCGAAUGGAUAUUAUCAAAUGUUUCCUGCUAUGUACCCUGCGCUAGUUCCACCGCCAAACGAUGAACAAGUGAACCGUGGAGCAGGAAUCUACGCUGUUUGUGGUCAUCCCUUUAAUGGAAAUGUUACCGGACUUCCAUACAACACUCUGAUUCCGCUGACUUAUCGUACACCCACGUAAGUGGCUUCUUACUUUAAUAUGAUAUAUGUUUGGAUGCAUUUAAAACAUAGCUAUCACUCAAUUUAAAUGAAUGUGCUAUUUAUUCUGAUGUUUAAGUAUAUUGUAACAGGUAUAUGCAUUUGUAGAUUUACAUACUUUUCACCCCGUAGACACUUUAAGCGAACUAACAUUAUUUCAAGGACUUGUAAUGUCAACUUCAUCCGCCAAUGAUUGUUUCAUAGAAUAACAAUAAUCUUGUUGAAUUUCCAAUAUAUAAUGUUAAAAUGACAUUGAUUAAAGUAAAGAGGAAGUUGCAAUUGCUAGCAAUGUGAGGGAUGAGUUUGACUUGUAGUUGUUAAAUUUGAUGAGGUUAAUGGCAUGAAAUCCAAGCUGGUGAUCUCAACUAUUCCACUAUCUUCAUAGAAUUCCCACAUCAACGUCUAUCAUUUAUAAGUUGCAAUAUUUGCAGUCCUGUUUUGAAUCAGUGUCUUUCCUCUCUAACUGUCCUGAUUAACUUCUUUUCCAAUAAUAUCUCCUGCUUCUGGCUAUACCAAUAUCAACGACAUCAAACACUGCUCUCCCUGAUAAGCAGCUCCGAUAACAGCCUGGCCCUUAGAGGGCUUCCAGCUAUCACUACCAGCAAUACUUGUUUGUCGGGCUGAUGCUAAAUCUUGGACUUUAUUACAUGCUCCCAUCGAUUACAGUUGUCAAAUUAGGCCAAGUCCUGAAGCUGCUGCUGGCAGCGAAAAUCAGGGGCAAGCGGGACAACAGAAUCCUCAACAGCCGAUGCGUGCUCCUGAAAGACAAGUUGUAAGGAGAUUUCAAAUUGCAUUUCGAAUAGAUUUGUUGCUUAUGUUAAAGCUGGCAGCUGUCAUCUUCUUGUUCAAUCAAGAUGGAUCAAGGCAGAGGCUUGCUGUCCUUGUGUUUUCUGCUGUUCUUGUAUAUUUAUACCAAACUGGAUCUUUGACAC
rnacentral:lncRNA from 1 species